rnacentral:rRNA from 1 species
AAUACGUUCCCGGGCCUUGUACACACCGCCCGUCACACCAUGGGAGUGGGUUGUACCAGAAGUAGAUAGCUUAACCUUCGGGGGGGCGUUUACCACGGUAUGAUUCAUGACUGGGGUGAAGUCGUAACAAGGUAACCGUAGGGGAACCUGCGGUUGGAUCACCUCCUUACCUAAAAUGAAGCGACAGCAAGUGUUCACACAGAUUGUUUG